rnacentral:rRNA from 1 species
UAGGGAAUCUUCCACAAUGGACGAAAGUCUGAUGGAGCAACGCCGCGUGAGUGAAGAAGGGUUUCGGCUCGUAAAGCUCUGUUGGUAGUGAAGAAAGAUAGAGGUAGUAACUGGCCUUUAUUUGACGGUAAUUACUUAGAAAGUCACGGCUAACUACGUGAC